UGUCUACUGAAAUAUAGAGGAUGAUUUGUGAAACAUUUGGGCCCUUGAUGCUUAGUCUGUAAAUCUCCAAAACCUCAUGAAAGCAAAAAAGAGCAAAGGGGAAAAGCAAAUAAAGCCUACAGGGAGCUUCUACAUCAGCAACAGUGACUGGAUGUCCUGCACAUUGCACAAUAUAAAGAAGUGAUCUGCAUUGACAACCUUUAAAUAGGAGAAGAGGAGAAAGAAAUACUGAAAAUGAGAAGUCAAAGAAGUCAAAUAAAAGCUCUGUGAAAAAUAACAGAAUAGAUUAAGAAAAGAUGGCGUACUCAGGCUGAAAGGUCUCUGGGCUCUCCAGCCUCUAGGACCUGGCUCCUGCAGGGUCAGGGGUGAGUUCCUUCUCAUGGCAUGGAUCUCAAAAUGGAUCACAAGAAAACCCACAGAAUCAACUAACCUGGGCUCAUACAGACUCACAGAAACUGAACUGCAGAGAGCCUGCACAGGACUGACCUAUAUCCUCACAUAUGUUACAGUUCUGUAACUUGGUCUUCUUGUAGGACUCCAAAUAGUGAGAGCAGAGGCUGUCUCUGACUAAUUUGCUACAUUUUGGGAUCUAUUUUCUCCUACUAGGUUGACUCGUUCAAACUUAAUAUGAAGAGAAGUGCCUAGGUGCAUUGCAACUUUAUAUGCUAUGUUUGGUUGAUAUCCAUUGGAGGCUAGCACUUUUCUGAAGAAAAUUAGAGGAGGAGGAGGAGAGGUGGGAUGCAGAAGGAGAAUGGGAGAAGUGGCUGGAAGGAAAGGGGGGAAGGGAAACUCUAGUUGGUUUGCAAAAACAAACAAACAAUGAAUAAAUAAAUAAAUCAUGCCAAGAAGACAUCUACCAUCAAGGAGACGAGCUGGUCCAGAUGAAUCAAGUUGUAAACAUUAAUUUAAUAA